CGAGACCUCAGGUCAGGCGGGGCUAC
rnacentral:rRNA from 3 species